UUAUCGAUCUUGUUCUUAUAUUGCUGUCAUAUAGGACAUUCUGUUAAUUAUUUAACUUUGAUCUCACAAUGGGACUACAUUGAAACCAAACGAAACUUUUUUUAAUUCAAAUAGAACACUUUAAACUUUAAGGAACAAAACAAAAUACGCAGGAGACCAAUUUAAUAUUUUACCCUUACAUUUUUUUUUUUUUGGUGAUUGAGGGGGCCUAAGCCCAAAAAAAAGAAAAAGUGGAAAACAAAAGGACAAAAUUAAAAGGGGGUGGCAGGGACAUUAACAUUGGUCAUAGCCUUCCCCUGUAAAUCAUCAAAGUACAUCGAAGUGAGUUCUUUAGGCAGAGAGUCUAAGAAUCUGAAAGCACAUUUCUUCCUUAUGGCUUCCUUUGCCAACCAAUCAGCCAACCGAUUAGCUUUUCUAUUGAUAUGUUUGAAGACUAACUCCCAAGGACUCCUCCUAAGUUUAGCAACCUCUAUUACUGCCUCAGUGUAGUGUUCAUCAUUGUGGAUACAAUUGUUGAUUAUGUCCACAAUUUCUACUGAAUCAACCUCAACCUCUAGUCCCCUCAUUCCCAGAUCCGUGGCCAUGUGUAACCCAUGGAUUACACUCUAGAGCUCUGUCUCUGCUGGAGAGCAGUCACCUAAACAUGCCAUGAAGCCUCCAACCCAUUCUCUAUUGUUGGUCCGUAGUAAGCCUCCACAUCCACUUUUCUUACUUUGAUGGUGAGUGGAUCCAUCAGUGUUCAACUUAACCCAACCAGCUGGGGAUGGCUGCCAAGUUGAUAUAGAUUUUUUGGAUGCUUUGCGCUCUGCGAAGAGGUUCAGCUCUAUCCACUCUUCUAGAGUUAUGGUUAGGAACCUCAUAACAGUGCUGAGCUGAAUUAACUUACCCCAUACUGUAGCAGCUUGUGGACAAUCCCUCAAGGCAUGGAGGAUAGUUUCUUCCAAUCGGGGGCACUUGUGGCAAAAGGGCGUUAUUCUCAUCAUUAUGGCCUUCCUCUUUGCAGUUAGAAAUCUUCCAUGGGCCAAUUGCCAAGUAAAUGUACGGACUCUUUCUGGUCCUUUUCAGCGCCAUAUUGACUGCAAAACCUUGUUUACUUCUGUGUUAUGCCUGGUUAGAAUUUUGUAUGGUACUAUUUUCAAGAAACGGCUCCAUGAUCUCUGUGUUCCAUUCUUCUCUCACAUUCACAUAAUCCUUAACCUUGGCCAUUUCUAGCUCCUUUGGAUCCUGACUAAUAGUUUCAUUAAUAAGACUUUUUGAUUUAGCAAUCCAAGAAUCCUUCCAGAAGAGAGCCCUCUCCCCAUCCACAAUAAUCCAGCUACAAUUGUCUCUCAUUAAGGGCUAGAUCCUCAUCAGGUCCUUCUAGGUUUGAGAGAAAUUUCCACUCUUCUCUGUCUUUAUCAAGCCCUUUUUGGUGCCUUCAUUACUAUGUGUAAUUACUCUUACCCACAACGCCUUUGACUCUAUCAUUAGGCGCCAAAGAACCUUCAUCAUAAAGGCGAUAUUCAUUUCCUACAACUUCUUAAAUCCAAGCCCACCUUGCGCCUUUGGUAGACAUAGGGUUUUCCACACAACAUGAUGCAUGCGCCUCUGCUAUUGGCAACUUCCCCAAAUAAAUCUCCUCUGCGCUUUCUCUAAUUCAUUACAGAUAUCUUUAGGUAAAAUUGAUUGCUGCAUCUCAUAAUUCGCCAAAGGGUUUAGAACCGCUUUGGCUAGUGUUGUUCUCCCAACUAGGAAGAGGCACUAACUUUUCCACCCUUUUAGCUUUCCUUGAACCCUUAGCAAAACAUGUUUGAAUUUCUCUUUUCCUUUGCAAUGAUUAGAGAUCAUUGCACCAAGGUACUUUCCCAAGCAUUGAUUUUCUUAGAAAUGGCAUAUGUUUUUUAUUUCCCUCCUGACCUCAUUCCUCACAUUGGCUGAGAAGAUCAUAGCAGUUUUUUCAUUACUAACCUUCAGCCCUGACGCAUCACAAAAUUUAUUAAUGAUUCUCAAAACAGUAGCAAUCUGUUCAGUGUUCGCCUCCACAAAGACAAGGAGGUCAUCUGCAAAGAGUGGGUGAGAGAUAGCUGAUCCUUGUUUCCCCGCUGUUAUAGGAAUCCACUUUCCUUUAGAUACAUAUUCUUCAAUCAACUGUGAUAGCUUGUCCAUAACGAUAACAAACAAAUAGGAGGAGAUUGGAUCUCCCUGUCGGAGACCCCUUGUGAGUACAAAUUCUUCAAUCUUUUUCCCAUUCCAAAGGAGGUUGUAGGACACUGAUGUAACACAUUCCAUCAUAAUCUCCACCAACUUGUCCGGGAGGUUAAACUCUUGUAGGCAUGACUUCAAAAAAGACCACCGAACCUGUCUUAGGCUUUCUCAAAAUCAAACUUGAUAGCCAUGUACCCCUUUUUUCCUUUACACUUUUUCAUAAUAUGGGUUAGCUCCUUCGCAAUCAGAAUAUUGUCUUAUAUCUUCCUUUCUAGAACAAAACUUGAUUGCUGAGGGGCUAUUCUAUCUGUUAGCGCAGAUUUAAUUCUUUCCACAAUAAUCUUAGAGAUCCCCUUAUAACUUACGUUACAUAAGGAGAUUGGCCGAAACUGGUAUAUAAAUUCAGGGGUUGGGACCUUCGGGAUAAGGGUAAUUAAGGUGCUAUUGAGGUUCUUGAUUAACUCAAGUUCUUUCCAAUACAUCUCCACCCGGUUGAACACAUUCAUCUUCACGCAAUCCCACUAAUCUUUGUAGAAAGCUGCUAGGAAUCCAUCUGCUCUCGGCGCUUUCAAGGAACCAAUAUUAAAGUAGGCUCUUUUGAUCUCUUCAUGGGUGGGCAUUGAAUCCAUGUUCUUCUUUAUGUCUUCUUGUAGGGGAGGGUAGGAGUUAUGCAUAGGGAGUGGUUGUGCAACAGCAACUUCCUCUUUGUACAAUCUCUUAUAAAACAUAACCGCAAAGCUGGCCAAGGUCUCAAGGUCCUCCAUCCAUUCUCCUUCUCCAUUUCUUAGCUUCAAAAUUCAGUUCUUUCUUCUUC